rnacentral:rRNA from 1 species
GGGAAUCUACCGUGCCCUGCGGAAUAGCUCCGGGAAACUGGAAUUAAUACCGCAUACGCCCUACGGGGGAAAGAUUUAUCGGGAUAUGAUGAGCCCGCGUUGGAUUAGCUAGUUGGUGGGGUAAAGGCCUACCAAGGCGACGAUCCAUAGCUGGUCUGAGAGGAUGAUCAGCCACAUUGGGACUGAGACACGGCCCAAACUCCUACGGGAGGCAGCAGUGGGGAAUAUCGGACAAUGGGCGCAAGCCUGAUCCAGCCAUGCCGCGUGAGUGAUGAAGGCCUUAGGGUUGUAAAGCUCUUUCACCGGAGAAGAUAAUGACGGUAUCCGGAGAAGAAGCCCCGGCUAACUUCGUGCCAGCAGCCGCGGUAAUACGAAGGGGGCUAGCGUUGUUCGGAAUUACUGGGCGUAAAGCGCACGUAGGCGGAUAUUUAAGUCAGGGGUGAAAUCCCAGAGCUCAACUCUGGAACUGCCUUUGAUACUGGGUAUCUUGAGUAUGGAAGAGGUAAGUGGAAUUCCGAGU